rnacentral:tRNA from 1 species
GGGCGCUUAGCUCAGUUGGUAGAGCGUCUGCCUUACAAGCAGAAUGUCGGCGGUUCGAUCCCGUCAGUGCCCACCA